GACGAACGCUGGCGGCGUGCUUAACACAUGCAAGUCGAGCGGAAAGGCCCUUUCGGGGGUACUCGAGCGGCGAACGGGUGAGUAACACGUGAGUAAUCUGCCUCUGGCUUCGGGAUAGCCACCGGAAACGGUGAUUAAUACCGGAUAUGACAUCUUCACGCAUGUGAUGGGUGUGGAAAGUGUUUUCGGCCAGGGAUGUGCUCGCGGCCUAUCAGCGUGUGGGUGGGGUAAUGGCCUACCAAGGCUUCGACGGGUAGCCGGCCUGAGAGGGUGACCGGCCACACUGGGACUGAGACACGGCCCAGACUCCUACGGGAGGCAGCAGUGGGGAAUAUUGGACAAUGGGCGGAAGCCUGAUCCAGCAACGCCGCGUGAGGGAUGACGGCCUUCGGGUUGUAAACCUCUUUCAGCACAGACGAAGCGCAAGUGACGGUAUGUGCAGAAGAAGGACCGGCCAACUACGUGCCAGCCGCCGCCGUAACAC
rnacentral:rRNA from 1 species